UCCCAUCUUAGCCUGGUGCAAUUCCUUCAGCUGCUCCUAUACUUGGUAUGACCUUUUCCCACCCACCCCCUUUCAAUCUCUCUCCCUUUCCUUGCUCUUUCCCUCCCUACUGUUGUGAGCCUGAUGGCCAAUGGGCUUCUCUGGAAGAUCAAGUGUCACUAUAACAUGAGGACUUCGUCGCCUGGUGAAUUUUGCAGACCCUGGGAAGCCUGUCCCAUUCAGCAUAGAGCUCCUCGCUUCUCUGAGCUUCCCCCUCUCAGAAACCUACUGCCAACAUGUCUGACACCGAGGAAGUUGAGCAAGUAGAGGGUGAGUAUGAACAUCCCUUUCUAAUUAUAUACCAGUGUUUCAAAGUCUAUUUUUUUCUGUUUACUUUUCUGAUGCAUAUUAUUUUUCGGAAUUUACUCAACUCCAAGGGU